ensembl:lncRNA
CCAGAAUGAGAAAAGAAUCAUUAAUCUAAGCAGCACACUUCAUUUAUAAUGAAUAAACCAUAGGUGCAGCAGUUAAGGAGUUAACUGUUCUGGUUUAGACACGUGUUACUCUAGGCCAAUGAGCUGCUGAAACGUGGUACAGGCUCCGCCUGCCGCCCCUGCCUAGGAGGACACAGAUUUUUCUCUUCUCUCUUUUUCGCUAGCAAACCUUCCAUGAGCAAGCUAGUGAGGAAACGAGACACGGCGAAUUAUUGAGACAAGGUAUGAAAAAGAGUAAUAUAAGCGGAGAGUUAGCAUUCACCGUUUACUAAAACUAUUUUAUUGUUUGUAUAUUGCUAAGACGAGUAAUUAGCUGGUUCUUUUUACAUUGCUUAGUCGAGAAAGUCGGGAGUUAGAGACGACGCCAUUUCAUCGGUCGUGCGCCAUCUCGCGCUGCUCCGUCUUUCUAAUUCUGAGAUCGGUCAAGUUUUUUUGUUGUUGUUUGGUUUUGUUUUUUUGUUUCUUUGGUUUGUAUCUUCCUGGUGCAUUCCAACGGAUCCUGAAAUUGAUGGCGUUGAAGGACCAAUUGACUUUGUUCUGUCCUGCACAUCAGAGUGUGGUAGGCCAGAUGCAACAAAACAGAAACACAUCACGCCAUUUUGUACUAGUAGUCCCCCUUCUUCACAUACAUCCCUCUGGACUCGCGGGUGGGUUGUUAUAAGGACUUGGGUUCACGGACUCUGUACAUUCCAUAAAUGUGAACAAAAGUGAGUGUGAGCGGUUGGAAAUAACCCUCCAGCUGAUUAACUGUUGCUAAUUGUAAUGAAAUCUGUGAAAAUGCAAGUAAGUGUUAACAUUUAUAUGCUGAUGAUUGAAAUUGUGGUUCAAUGUUGGAUGUGAACUGUACUUCUAGAAAGGGUGCACCCAGGUAAGAUUUCUUUCUCAUCGAGUGAUUACUGUGAUUUUGCCAAAAGGUAUCAUUGAGAGAGUACUGGUACCGAAAGGG